AUUGAACGCUGGCGGCAGGCCUAACACAUGCAAGUCGAGCGGAGCGGCGGACGGGUGAGUAAUGCCUAGGAAUCUGCCUGGUAGUGGGGGAUAACGUCCGGAAACGGGCGCUAAUACCGCAUACUAUCAGAUAAGCCUGGGUCGGAUUAGCUAGUGGGUGGGGAAAAGGCCUACCAAGGCGACGAUCCGUAACUGGUCUGAGAGGAUGAUCAGUCACACUGGAACUGAGACGCGGGCCAGACUCCUACGAGAGGCAGCAGUGAGGAAUAGUGGGCAAUGGGCGAAAGCCUGAUCCAGCCAUGCCGGGUGUGUGAAGAAGGUCUUCGGGUUGUAAAGCACUUUAAGUUGGGAGGCGUUACCAACAGAAUAAGCACCGGCUAACUUCGUGCCAGCAGCGGCGGAAUUC
rnacentral:rRNA from 1 species